GUGUCAGCAGCCGCGGUAAUACGGAAGGUGCAAGCGUUAGUCGGAAUUACUGGGCGUAAAGGGUGCGUAGGCUGGGUUAUAAGUUAGAUGUGAAAUUUUUGCGCUCAACGUAAAAGCUGCAUCUAAAACUGUAACUCUGGAGGUAUUGCGGAGAAAGCGGAAUUCCACGUGUAGCGGUGAAAUGCGUAGAUAUGUGGAAGAACACCUGUGGCGAAAGCGGCUUUCUAGCAUAGACCUGACGCUGAGGCACGAGAGCAAGGGGAGCAAACAGGAUUAGAUACCCUGGUAGUCCUUGCCGUAAACUAUGCAUACUUGAUGUAGGUAGGCUCAACCUUACCUGUGUCGUAGCUAACGCGAUAAGUAUGCCGCCUGGGGAGUACGCUCGCAAGAGUGAA
rnacentral:rRNA from 1 species